UAAAUUCAAUUUAAAGUCGAAUUUUCUUUGAUGGCACGGGAUAUUUUAAGUAUUUCUAUCACUACAGUGGCCUUGGAAUCAGCUUUCAGUAUUGGUGGUAGAAUUGUGGGUAAAUAUCGUACUUCGCUCCUACCAGAAAAUGUGGAGGUCUUGUUAUGUGCUAGGGACUGGUUAUAUGGAGUAACAGCUUCUGAAGAUGAAGAAGAUAAAGAAAGACUGAGUAUUGACUUUGCACCUUUAGUUGCUAAACUUACUAACCUUCAUGUUUAGGAAUCUUCUCUGUUUUGUGUUGAGCCAAC